AUACGGGAGGCAGCAGUGAGGAAUAUGGGACAAUGGGCGCAAGCCUGAUCCAGCCAUGCCGCGUGCAGGAUGAAGCAUCUAUGGUGUGUAAACUGCUUUUGUACGAGAAGAAACAUCCCGACGUGUCGGGACUUGACGGUAUCGUAAGAAUAAGGAUCGGCUAACUCCGUGCCAGUAGCCGCGGUAAUACGGAGGAUCCAAGCGUUAUCCGGAAUCAUUGGGUUUAAAGGGUCCGUAGGCGGUCUUAUAAGUCAGUGGUGAAAUCUCCCCGCUCAACGGGGAAACGGCCAUUGAUACUGUAGGACUUGAAUUAUUAGGAAGUAACUAGAAUAUGUAGUGUAGCAGUGAAAUGCUUAGAGAUUACAUGGAAUACCAAUUGCGAAGGCAGGUUACUACUAAUGGAUUGACGCUGAUGGACGAAAGCGUGGGUAGCGAACAGGAUUAGAUACCCGGGUAGUCCC
rnacentral:rRNA from 1 species